GAGGAAUGGCCGAGUGGUCGAAGGCGCUUGACUCGAAAUCAAGUUUACGGUUUACCGUAACAAGGGUUCGAAUCCCUUUUCCUC
rnacentral:tRNA from 1 species